rnacentral:lncRNA from 1 species
AAGAGACAGCGCCGCCGGCCGUGGGGAGCGGACGCAGUGAUUUGCUCCCCCUCGUGCAGCAACCCCCACACCCAGCACCAGGCCCCCAGAACUCUCCUUCCAGCUGAACUCCCUGGGAACAAGUCAGUUGGGCUGAUCACUGAACUCACAUUUCUGGACCUGAGGAGCCUGUUCCUCUCACGCCCUCACCUGGCUGAGCCGCAGUAGUUCUUCAGUGGCAAGCUUUAUGUCCUGACCCAGCUAAAGCUGCCAGUUGAAGAACUGUUGCCCUCUGCCCCUGGCUUCGAGGAGGAGGAGGAGCUGCUUUCCCCAUCAUCUGGAAGGUGACAGAAAUGGGCUGGGAAGGUCCGAACAGCAGGGUGGAUGAUACGUUUUGGGCAAGUUGGAGAGCCUUUGCCCAGAUUGGCCCAGCAAGGAGCGGUUUUAGAUUAGAGACACUGGCUGGAUUGAGGAGUAGAAGGCUCAAACAACCCAAGGCUUUCUGCCUCCGAGAUGUGGCACCAUAGUGCGGUGCCCUGUGGCUUCACCGCCCUACUUCCACCUCCGCCCAGCCUGUAAUGUUUAUAUAAGCAGCCUCAAGGACCAAGAACCAUCUGCGAAAGGACACACACAGGAAAUUCAUAAAAGAAAUCUGAAUGGAUAAAACCAUGAAAAAAAGUAUGCUUCAUUAGUAAUUAAAGAAAGGCAAAUAGAGCUGGAAGCAUUUUUCCCUUAGCAAACCAUAACAGAAAAAAAUAAGACCCAAUAUUGGCAAAGAGACUACUGAAAAAACAUUCCCAUACAUUGCGUGUGGGAGUAUACAUCGGUGCAGGCUUCCUGGAUGACAGUUGGGUGAUAUGUGUCAUGUGGCCUAAAAGCCUCCAUGUCAUUUGACCUACGAAUUCUAUCUUUGGGAAUUUAUCCUAAGAAAAUACUUAAGGAUUUAGUUAGUGAUAAGAUGUUCAUCCCAGCAUUGCAAUGGAGAAAAAUGGGAAGCAAUGGUUUGGUUGGGAAUUUAUUCCUUUUCUGCUGUAACGAAAGUUUGCAAUAGGGGAUUGCUUAAGUAAAUUAUUGUAUCUCCAUCCAGAUGGUGGAGUACCGCGCAGACAUUAAAAGUCAUGUAAAAGAACAUCUGACUGAAAGAAAAAUGCUCCUUGAAUAUUAAAAGGUUGUAAAAAUAGUGCAUGUUAUGUGAUUUCAAUUUUGUUUUUUAAAAUAUGGGUGUAUGCUUGUAUACGUAGAGCAGAUAAAAAAGACGGAAGGCAUACUAAAAAAUGUUGAGUGGUUAUCUUUGUAUGGUGGAACAAAGUCACUGUAAUUUUCAUCUUUGGUUUUUCUGUAAUUUCCAAAUUUUCCACAUUUUGUAUUUCAUAUAAUAUAAUUUAAGAGAUCAGUGUUAUUAUU